rnacentral:rRNA from 1 species
ACGCUCGACACCUACGGGAGCAGCAGUGGGGAAUAUUGCACAAUGGGGGAAACCCUGAUGCAGCAACGCCGCGUGAAGGAAGAAGUAUUUCGGUAUGUAAACUUCUAUCAGCAGGGAAGAAAAAGAUGACGGUACCUGACUAAGAAGAACCGGCUAAAUACGUGCCANAGCCGCCGGUAAGUACUGAGCGGGCGGUGGCGAAGGACG